CCUACGGGAGGCAGCAGUGGGGAAUUUUCCGCAAUGGGCGAAAGCCUGACGGAGCAAUACCGCGUGAGGGAAGACUGCCUAUGGGUUGUAAACCUCUUUUCUCAGGGAGGAAAUCAAUGACGUUACCUGAGGAAUAAGCAUCGGCUAACUCCGUGCCAGCAGCCGCGGUAAU
rnacentral:rRNA from 1 species